CCGGUAACGUCGAUGCGAUGGUGCGGUGCGUGCGGGCCCGUGCCGCCGCCGCGCUCGCUGCCGCCUCCCGGUAAGGAAACGCCGCCGCCCCCCCCCCACGCGCGCGGUGUCAGCGGGCGCUCGGCGCGCAAAGCGCAAAAGUGCAGCACCGGUGCACCCCUGGGCACGGGCCUCCCGCCGUCCGCUCGCUGCUGCUGCCGCCUUGUGGCCGAAGCGCGGCACUGCAGCCCAGGGUUCGCGCGCCGCCUCUGGCCGCUCCUGCGUGCCGUCGGCGGCCGGCGCAUGCGCGGUCCACGGGAGCAGCAUGGCGGCGCUAAGGGCGUGGGUGUCGGCGUCAGCGGCAUGGGAGCAAAAAGGGACAGGCGGAGCGCUUACUGGCUGUGGGCAGGAGCUGCUGCAGCUGUAGCUGGAGAGGCCAGAGAAAGGUAAAGAUGAAGAAAUUGAAGGCCAUCUGGCUGGCAGCUGCCUCUUGCUGCAGGCAAGAGAGAGCCUGCUUCUCCAGGUGAGGAAGGAUCCCUCUUUGUAGUCCACAGCAGGCCAGGCUGCCAGCAUGCACUGCAGGGUCUGUAUGUGUCACCAAC
rnacentral:lncRNA from 1 species